UCCAGACUCCUACGGGAGGCAGCAGUGAGGAAUAUUGGUCAAUGGUCGGGAGACUGAACCAGCCAAGUCGCGUGAGGGAUGACGGUCCUAUGGAUUGUAAACCUCUUUUGUCAGGGAGCAAAGGGCGCCACGUGUGGCGCUUUGCGAGUACCUGAAGAAAAAGCAUCGGCUAACUCCGUGCCAGCAGCCGCGGUAAUACGGAGGAUGCGAGCGUUAUCCGGAUUUAUUGGGUUUAAAGGGUGCGCAGGCGGAAUGUCAAGUCAGCGGUAAAAUUUCGGGGCUCAACCCCGUCGUGCCGUUGAAACUGGCGUUCUUGAGUGAGCGAGAAGUAUGCGGAAUGCGUGGUGUAGCGGUGAAAUGCAUAGAUAUCACGCAGAACUCCGAUUGCGAAGGCAGCAUACCGGCGCUCAACUGACGCUCAUGCACGAAAGCGUGGGUAUCGAACAGGAUUAGAUACCCUAGUAC
rnacentral:rRNA from 1 species